UACGUAGGGUGCGAGCGUUAAUCGGAAUUACUGGGCGUAAAGCGUGCGCAGGCGGCUCCUUAAGUCAGAUGUGAAAGCCCCGGGCUUAACCUGGGAACUGCGUUUGAAACUGGGGAGCUAGAGUGUAGAAGAGGCGAGUGGAAUUCCUGGUGUAGCGGUGAAAUGCGCAGAUAUCAGGAGGAACACCGGUGGCGAAGGCGGGACUCUGGGCCGAUACUGACGCUGAGGAGCGAAAGCGUGGGGAGCGAACAGG
rnacentral:rRNA from 1 species